GGUUCAAUGGUCUAGUGGUUAUGAUUUCUGUCUCACAUUGGGCCUAGCUGGUACCAUGGUCACAGAAGGUCUCCAGUUCGAUCCUGGAUUGAACCA